rnacentral:ncRNA from 1 species
AGCCGAAAAUUUUCAAGUUUUAAAAAUGUCAAAUGAAAUAAUAAAUAAUAAAACACUUGAAUAAUUUUGAACGAAAGGGAAUACGGUUCCAAUUUCGUAAUCUGUUGAGUAUCCGUUUGUUAUUAAAUAUGGGCCUCGUGCUCAUCCUGGCAACAGGAACGACCAUAAAGAAGCCGUCGAGAGGUAUCGGAAGAGUUUUCUUUUCUGUUUUAUAGCCGUACUACCAUGGAAGUCUUUCGCAGAAAGAUAUGGUAGAUGGGCUAGAAGAGCAUGACAUAUAUUGUUGUGUCGAUAUUUUCUCCUCGGACCUUGAAAAUUUAUGGUGGGGAUACGCAAACUUCUCAACAGGCCGUACCAAUAUCCGCAGCUGGUCUCCAAGGUGAAGAGUCUCUAGUCGAUAGAAUAAUGUAGGUAAGGGAAGUCGGCAAAUUAGAUCCGUAACUUCGGGAUAAGGAUUGGCUCUGAAGAUUGAGAUAGUCGGGCUUGAUUGGGAAACAAUAACAUGGUUUAUGUGCUCGUUCUGGGUAAAUAGAGUUUCUAUCAUUUAUGAUAGUUAUUUGUUCCCCGGAUAGUUAGUUACGUAGCCAAUUGUGGAACUUUCUUGAUAAAAUUUUUAAGAAUACUAAUUUUUAAUUAGUUCUUUUAAAUUAUAACGAUUAUCAAUUAACAAUCAAUUCAGAACUGGCACGGACUUGUGGAAUCCGACUGUCAGCUGCGCGUAUGGCUUCUAUAUUAAAGAUGGCGGCUAAAAGACUCAAAAUAGCGGGUGGAAGACUCAUAAUAGCGGGUAGAAGACUCAAAAUGGCGGCUGUAGAAUGGUUCCAACAGCUCGUAUGGCUUUUAUAUUAAAGAUGGCGUCUUAAAGACCCGAAAUGGCUGGU